GACGAACGCUGGCGGCGUGCUUAACACAUGCAAGUCGAACGGAAAGGCCCUGCUUUUGUGGGGUGCUCGAGUGGCGAACGGGUGAGUAACACGUGAGUAACCUGCCCUUGACUUUGGGAUAACUUCAGGAAACUGGGGCUAAUACCGGAUAGGAGCUCCUGCUGCAUGGUGGGGGUUGGAAAGUUUCGGCGGUUGGGGAUGGACUCGCGGCUUAUCAGCUUGUUGGUGGGGUAGUGGCUUACCAAGGCUUUGACGGGUAGCCGGCCUGAGAGGGUGACCGGCCACAUUGGGACUGAGAUACGGCCCAGACUCCUACGGGAGGCAGCAGUGGGGAAUAUUGCACAAUGGGCGGAAGCUUGAUGCAGCAACGCCGCGUGCGGGAUGACGGCCUUCGGGUUGUAAACCGCUUUCGCCUGUGACGAAGCGUGAGUGACGGUAAUGGGUAAAGAAGCACCGGCUAACUACGUGCCAGCAGCCGCGGUGAUACGUAGGGUGCGAGCGUUGUCCGGAUUUAUUGGGCGUAAAGGGCUCGUAGGUGGUUGAUCGCGUCGGAAGUGUAAUCUUGGGGCUUAACCCUGAGCGUGCUUUCGAUACGGGUUGACUUGAGGAAGGUAGGGGAGAAUGGAAUUCCUGGUGGAGCGGUGGAAUGCGCAGAUAUCAGGAGGAACACCAGUGGCGAAGGCGGUUCUCUGGGCCUUUCCUGACGCUGAGGAGCGAAAGCGUGGGGAGCGAACAGGCUUAGAUACCCUGGUAGUCCACGCUGUAAACGGUGGGUACUAGGUGUGGGGUCCAUUCCACGGGUUCCGUGCCGUAGCUAACGCUUUAAGUACCCCGCCUGGGGAGUACGGCCGCAAGGCUAAAACUCAAAGGAAUUGACGGGGCCCCGCACAAGCGGCGGAGCAUGCGGAUUAAUUCGAUGCAACGCGUAGAACCUUACCUGGGUUUGACAUGGAUCGGGAGUGCUCAGAGAUGGGUGUGCCUCUUUUGGGGUCGGUUCACAGGUGGUGCAUGGCUGUCGUCAGCUCGUGUCGUGAGAUGUUGGGUUAAGUCCCGCAACGAGCGCAACCCUUGUUCACUGUUGCCAGCACGUUAUGGUGGGGACUCAGUGGAGACCGCCGGGGUCAACUCGGAGGAAGGUGGGGAUGACGUCAAGUCAUCAUGCCCCUUAUGUCCAGGGCUUCACGCAUGCUACAAUGGCUGGUACAGAGAGUGGCGAGCCUGUGAGGGUGAGCGAAUCUCGGAAAGCCGGUCUCAGUUCGGAUUGGGGUCUGCAACUCGACCUCAUGAAGUCGGAGUCGCUAGUAAUCGCAGAUCAGCAACGCUGCGGUGAAUACGUUCCCGGG
rnacentral:rRNA from 1 species